UGUGGUUUAAUUCGAAGCAACGCGAAGAACCUUACCAGGGCUUGACAUGCCGCUGACCGGUGCAGAGAUGCAUCUUUAUCCUUCGGGGUACAGCGGACACAGGUGGUGCAUGGUUGUCGUCAGCUCGUGUCGUGAGAUGUUGGGUUAAGUCCCGCAACGAGCGCAACCCUUGUCUUUAGUUGCCAUCAUUAAGUUGGGCACUCUAAAGAGACUGCCGAUGACAAAUCGGAGAAGGUGGGGAUGACGUCAAAUCAUCAUGCCCUUUAUGUCCUGGGCUACACACGUGCUACAAUGGUCGGUACAACGAGAAGCAAGCCAGCGAUGGCAAGCAAAUCUCUAAAAGCCGAUCCCAGUUCGGAUUGCAGGCUGCAACUCGCCUGCAUGAAGUCGGAGUUGCUAGUAAUCGCGGAUCAGAAUGCCGCGGUGAAUGCGUUCCCGGGUCUU
rnacentral:rRNA from 2 species